rnacentral:lncRNA from 1 species
UCUUCCGCCUAAAUUUUUUUCUUGCGUAGUAUUGAUGUUUGAAAAGAUGUCGCUUAGAUAUUUGGAAUAUGAUGUCGUAUAGUUUAUACGCUUUAAAAAUUAACAACUGCGUAACAAAAUACUUUACAUUGUAAGAGUUAUCUCCCCAAACACUGUUUUUCUUGUGACCACUACUCCUUCGCAACCGUAAAAGAUUACGACAAAUUUAUUUUACCAAAUUGCUCGUUACUUCUUCAGGAUUAGGAUAUUCAUUUGGACCGAAGCUAUCCGGAAACUCCAUAUGAGAGUUAUUUCCCCUUAUGCAUUUGAUAUAAGUAAUAUGCAUUUUUAACUGGUAAACAAUCAGUGAUAUAGGC